rnacentral:lncRNA from 1 species
AAACAAGCGUAUUAAUCAAUUUUGAUCAAGCUUAAACCAUUAUAAAAUUUUAUUAUAUUCACAUUCAACCAAUUAAGUGUCUAGGAAUGAAACAGAUUUAUUGAUUUGGAAAAAAACAAAAAAUAACAAUGAAACCAAGCUACAUACAUGUAUAUAAAAAACUAAAGUAUAGAACAUCAAAUCCAAAAAUAGAAACAGUGUAAAUAACCAUUCCCCAAGAAACUGAAGUGUCUAAAGCAACAAGUUUAUAACAAUAGCAAUGAGAGCAGGGAAAGUAGCAACGAUAGCAGUGGCCGAACCCGGUGAUGGAGGAGUUGCAUCAGGCUGAGUUGGAGAAGAAGGGGAUGGUGUUCCUCCGCUGGUAGGUGGAGUAGGAGAACAAUAGCAAUGAGAGCAGGGAAAGUAGCAACGAUAGCAGUGGCCGAACCCGGUGAUGGAGGAGUUGCAUCAGGCUGAGUUGGAGAAGAAGGGGAUGGUGUUCCUCCGCUGGUAGGUGGAGUAGGAGUGGUUCCAGAUGAAGGAGGAGUAGGUGAAGGAGGAGUAGAUGAAGGAGGAGUAGAUGAAGAAGAUGUUGGAACUUUAAUGGUUAGCUUUUGACCGCCAGAUUGACAAUGGGAUGAGACGGUACAUAUGAAAUAGAAAUCACCAGUUCUGUUAAGAGUCACUCUUGCUGGUGAUGUUGUUAUUAUGUCAUUUGUAUUUUGAUUCACAUUGCAGUUGUCAAAGUCUGCCUUGUUGGUUG